CGACUUAUAUUCUGUAGCAAGGUUAACCGUAUAGGGGAGCCGGAGGGAAACCGAGUCUUAACCGGGCGUUAAGUUGCAGGGUAUAGACCCGAAACCCGGUGAUCUAGCCAUGGGCAGGUUGAAGGUUGGGUAACACUAACUGGAGGACCGAACCGACUAAUGUUGAAAAAUUAGCGGAUGACCUGUGGCUGGGGGUGAAAGGCCAAUCAAACCGGGAGAUAGCUGGUUCUCCCCGAAAGCUAUUUAGGUAGCGCCUCGUGAAUUCAUCUCCGGGGGUAGAGCACUGUUUCGGCUAGGGGGCCAUCCCGGCUUACCAACCCGAUGCAAACUGCGAAUACCGGAGAAUGUUAUCACGGGAGACACACGGCGGGUGCUAACGUCCGUCGUGAAGAGGGAAACAACCCAGACCGCCAGCUAAGGUCCCAAAGUCAUGGUUAAGUGGGAAACGAUGUGGGAAGGCCCAGACAGCCAGGAUGUUGGCUUAGAAGCAGCCAUCAUUUAAAGAAAGCGUAAUAGCUCACUGGUCGAGUCGGCCUGCGCGGAAGAUGUAACGGGGCUAAACCAU
rnacentral:rRNA from 2 species